UAGGGAAUCUUCCGCAAUGGACGAAAGUCUGACGGAGCAACGCCGCGUGAGUGAUGAAGGUUUUCGGAUCGUAAAACUCUGUUGUUAGGGAAGAACAAGUACCGUUCGAAUAGGGCGGUACCUUGACGGUACCUAACCAGAAAGCCACGGCUAACUACGUGCCAGCAGCCGCGGUAAUACGUAGGUGGCAAGCGUUGUCCGGAAUUAUUGGGCGUAAAGCGCGCGCAGGUGGUUUCUUAAGUCUGAUGUGAAAGCCCACGGCUCAACCGUGGAGGGUCAUUGGAAACUGGGGAACUUGAGUGCAGAAGAGGAAAGUGGAAUUCCAAGUGUAGCGGUGAAAUGCGUAGAUAUUUGGAGGAACACCAGUGGCGAAGGCGACUUUCUGGUCUGUAACUGACACUGAGGCGCGAAAGCGUGGGGAGCAAACAGGAUUAGAUGCCCUGGUAGUCCACGCCGUAAACGAUGAGUGCUUAGUGUUAGAGGGUUUCCGCCCUUUAGUGCUGCAGCUAACG
rnacentral:rRNA from 1 species